UACGGGGGGGGCAAGCGUUGUUCGGAAUUACUGGGCGUAAAGGGCUCGUAGGCGGCCAACUAAGUCAGACGUGAAAUCCCUCGGCUUAACCGGGGAACUGCGUCUGAUACUGGAUGGCUUGAGAUUGGGAGAGGGAUGCGGAAUUCCAGGUGUAGCGGUGAAAUGCGUAGAUAUCAGGAGGAACACCAAUAGCGAAGGCAGCUCGCUGGGACGGUAUUGACGCUGAGGCGCGAAAGCGUGGGGAGCAAACAGG
rnacentral:rRNA from 1 species